UCAACGAAAGUCCAAGAGCAAUAAAGUCGGCUUUUAGAGGUUGGUUCAUUGGUUGAACAGUUGAGCUUACUUUUGGACGCCAAAGCACCCAAAGCAAAAUUUCAUUAAGGGCUAAUUUCAGGAAGCCCAGAAAUUUGACUUUGUACUUUUGGAGUUGCUUUCUCCCACAUUUACUUCCCCAUUCACUCGAACGAAUCCAUCCAGCCACUCAUGGUGAAUUCCCUACCAUCUCUUUUCUUCAUUGCCAUUCUCCUCUUCUUUGUCCUUCUUCACAUGGCUGAAUUCUCUUACGGCAGGUUCAAUCGGUCUUCACAAGUUUUCAGGAAGGAGGCCAGUGAUACGAGGGCAUGUAUACCAGGGGAGUUCAAAACAUUUUUGAAAACUAGCGAGUUUGGUGAAGUUUUCUGAAAACGUGAGGAGAUUAAUGAAAUUGCCCUUUAUCAAAUUGAUAAAGGUCCGCUGGUGGUUUUUAGGUGAUUUAUUGUUCCAAGGUAAUUGUAGUUCUAUGCAGAAGAUUUUGAUUAGAGUGAAGUGGUAAAAUAAUUUCAUAAUCAAUUGAGGAUUUUGAUUAGUUCUGUGC